UUUUAAGAAUGACUCCAGUGACCCAAAGUGUGCAGUUCUACUAGCAGGGGAAGCAACUAGAACUGCAGAUUCCAUAUUCUCCUUGUGGAAAAGGCAUCAAACUGAGGUGGGCAAAAGCUGGAUUAAACAACAGCCAGGAAUGAAAGUACUGAAGGAAAACCCAGACUCCGGACAGAGGUCUGUGGCAUGCUUUAUACUUAUGGUUCUCAUCUCUAUGCUCAUUUGCCUACAGCUUUUGUUGAUCUUAUUCCUGUGAACUCUCCUGUGCAAGGAAUUCCUACAGUCAGUCAGUGCUAGGCUCCAUCCUAUCCAGUUUCCAGUCUCUGAGAGUUGCCAAUACCAGACGCUUCAGAGGAAGAUACAAGAAAUUCUGCAGUAGCUGGUUAAGGCAUAACCCGCCCUCAUAGUUGUCAUGACCCAAUGAUUGUGUGUGCGCUUCGGCACUGCAGAAUUAUUUCCUGCCACCUGGAGCUUUCUUUGCACGGUGCAAUUCUCAGCUACAGAGAGAAAACCCCGGUGCAAAGGAGUUCCUGCCACCCGUAUGUAAAUUUGUUUCCCACUAUUGGCUGUUUCUAAAUUAUUCCCACGUGGCGGCUAGCGAUUGGCUUGCUAGUCGUAUAAGAGGUUUGAGCAGUUUCCGCCCAAGUUGAUAGAGGACUCCACAACUAUCUCCUGGGGACCCUGAGCACGCGGCAGAGUAAUAGAAACUUUGUGUGCAUCUCCGAGGAGUUCGGUGGCCUGAUCAACCACCAACCUCUUCCCGUCUCAUUCGUUAAAUUCUUCUUAAGACGUAUCUACAGUUUUUGCGCGCUCAUCAAGGGUAUCCAGAGCUCUGUCGUGUUUGUUUUGCGGAGCCUAGCAAACUCCGUUCGUGUGUCUUUGGUGGAGCCUAGCAAACUCCACUUGUGUUUGUCUGUAACUGCAACUCAAGAAAGUUUUUCCUGCCUGCACCGCGACCACCUACGGUGUAAGUAAAACAAUCUUUAAUUAA